rnacentral:rRNA from 1 species
GACGAACGCUGGCGGCGUGCCUAAUACAUGCAAGUCGAACGCAUUUUCUUUCACCGUAGCUUGCUACACCGAAAGAAAAUGAGUGGCGAACGGGUGAGUAACACGUGGGUAACUUGCGCAUCAGCGGGGGAUAACACUUGGAAACAGGUGCUAAUACCGCAUAAUUCCAUUUACCGCAUGGUAGAUGGGUGAAAGGCGCUUUUGCGUCACUGAUGGAUGGACCCGCGGUGCAUUAGCCUGUUGGAGGGGUAACGGCCUACCAAGGCUGCGAUGCAUAGCCGACCUGAGAUGGUGGUCAGCCACACUGGGACUGAGACACGGCCCAGACUCAUACGGGAGGCAGCAGGAGGGAAUCUUCGGCAAGGGGCGCAAGUCUGACCGAGCAACGCCGCGGGAGUGAAGAAGGUUUUCGGAUCGGAAAACUCUGUUGUUGGGGAAGAACAAGGAUGAGAGUGGAAAGUUCAUCCCUUGACGGUAUCUAACCAGAAAGCCACGGCUAACUACGUG